rnacentral:rRNA from 1 species
UACGUAGGGUGCGAGCGUUGUCCGGAAUUAUUGGGCGUAAAGAGCUCGUAGGCGGUUUGUCGCGUCGACUGUGAAAACCCGCGGCUCAACCGUGUGGCGGGCAGUUGAUACGGGCAGGCUAGAGUUCGGUAGGGGAGACUGGAAUUCCUGGUGUAGCGGUGAAAUGCGUAGAUAUCGGGAGGAACACCGGUGGCGAAGGCGGUUCUCUGGGCCUUACCUGACGCUGAGGAGCGAAAGCGUGGGGAGCGAACAGG